AUAGAAGAGUUCGAGAAAGUUAUUUUUACAACUAAAAGAAAUGAUUGGGGAAACUGGUUAGAUUCCAGUACAGUGCCGCUACGGUAAGUCCCGAACACCAACAGGUGGAGGGAACAAGUCCGAAUACCAAUCAUUUUAUGUUUCCCGAGC
rnacentral:ncRNA from 24 species